rnacentral:misc_RNA from 1 species
GAAAUGCGAUACGUAGUGUGAAUUGCAGAAUUCAGUGAAUCAUCGAAUCUUUGAACGCACAUUGCGCCCUUUGGUAUUCCAAAGGGCAUGCCUGUUCGAGCGUCAUUUGUACCCUCAAGCUUUGCUUGGUGUUGGGCGUCUUUUUGUCUCUCCCCUUGUUGGGGGAGACUCGCCUUAAAACGAUUGGCAGCCGACCUACUGGUUUUCGGAGCGCAGCACAAAUUUGCGCCUUCCAAUCCACGGGGCGGCAUCCAGCAAGCCUUUAUUUUCUAUAACAAAUCCACAUUUUGACCUCGGAUCAGGUAGGGAUACCCGCUGAACUUAAGC